rnacentral:rRNA from 1 species
UACAGAGGGGGCAAGCGUUAUUCGGAAUUAUUGGGCGUAAAGGGCUCGUAGGCGGUCUGUCGCGUCGGGAGUGAAAACUCAGGGCUCAACCCUGAGCGUGCUUCCGAUACGGGCAGACUAGAGGUAUGCAGGGGGAGAACGGAAUUCCUGGUGUAGCGGUGGAAUGCGCAGAUAUCAGGAGGAACACCGGUGGCGAAGGCGGUUCUCUGGGCAUGACCUGACGCUGAGGAGCGAAAGCAUGGGGGAGCGAACAGG